CUGCUGUCUUCAACAGCAUAUAUACCAGGACUAGAACAAUGCAGAGAAGAUGAACAUGGGCCCUGCACAGAGAUGACCACAAAUUCAUAAAGUGUCCCAUAUAUAA
ensembl:snRNA Gm22079 U6 spliceosomal RNA